GAUGAACGCUAGCGGCAGGCUUAAUACAUGCAAGUCGUGGGGCAGCAGGACUGUAGCACUACAGUUGCUGGCGACCGGCAAACGGGUGCGGAACACGUACGCAACUUACCCUUAACUGGGGGAUAGCCCGGGGAAACCCGGAUUAAUACCCCGUAAUAUAAUUGAGUGCAUCCCUUUAUUAUUAAAGCUCCGGCGGUUCGGGAUGGGCGUGCGGCUGCUUAGGUAGUUGGUUGAGGUAACGGCUCACCAAGCCUACGAUCAGUAACUGGUGUGAGAGCACGACAAGUGACACGGGAACUGAGACACGGGCCCGAAUCAUACGGGAGGCAGCAGUAAGGAAUAUUGGGCAAUGGAGGCAACUCUGACCCAGCCAUGCCGCGUGGAGGAUGAAGGCGCUCGGGGUUGUAAACUUCUUUUAUAGGGGACGAAACCUGUGUAUUCUUACGCAGUUGACGGUACCCUAGGAAUAAGCACCGGCUAACUCCGUG
rnacentral:rRNA from 1 species